CCUACGGGAGGCAGCAGUGGGGAAUAUUGCACAAUGGAGGAAACCCUGAUGCAGCGACGCCGCGUGAGUGAAGAAGUAAUUCGUUAUGUAAAGCUCUAUUAGCAGGGAAGAAAAUGACGGUACCUGAGUAAGAAGCCCCGGCUAACUACGUGCCAGCAGCCGCGGUAAUACGUCGGGGGCAAGCGUUAUCCGGAUUUACUGGGUGUAAAGGGAGCGUAGACGGCGGUGCAAGUCUGGAGUGAAAGGCGGGGGCACAAACCCCGGACUGCUCUGGAAACUGUACGGCUGGAGUGCAGGAGAGGUAAAUGGAAUGCGUGGUGGAGCGGUGAAAUGCGUAGAUAUUAGGAGGAACACCAGUGGCGAAGGCGGCUUACUGGACUGUAACUGACGUUGAGGCUCGAAAGCGUGGGGAGCAAACAGGAUUAGAUACCCUGGUAGUC
rnacentral:rRNA from 1 species